GGCAUAAGCCAGCUUGACUGCGAGAGUGACGGCUCGAGCAGGUGCGAAAGCAGGUCUUAGUGAUCCGGUGGUUCUGAAUGGAAGGGCCAUCGCUCAACGGAUAAAAGGUACUCCGGGGAUAACAGGCUGAUACCGCCCAAGAGUUCAUAUCGACGGCGGUGUUUGGCACCUCGAUGUCGGCUCAUCACAUCCUGGGGCUGAAGUAGGUCCCAAGGGUAUGGCUGUUCGCCAUUUAAAGUGGUACGCGAGCUGGGUUUAGAACGUCGUGAGACAGUUCGGUCCCUAUCUGCCGUGGGCGCUGGAGAAUUGAGGGGGGCUGCUCCUAGUACGAGAGGACCGGAGUGGACGCAUCACUGGUGUUCGGGUUGUCAUGCCAAUGGCACUGCCCGGUAGCUAAAUGCGGAAGAGAUAAGUGCUGAAAGCAUCUAAGCACGAAACUUGCCCCGAGAUGAGUUCUCCCUGAGACUUAGAGUCUCCUGAAGGAACGUUGAAGACGACGACGUUGAUAGGCCGGGUGUGUAAGCGCAGCGAUGCGUUGAGCUAACCGGUACUAAUGAACCGUGAGGCUUAACCUU
rnacentral:rRNA from 1 species